rnacentral:rRNA from 1 species
UACGUAGGCAGCAAACGUUGUUCGGAAUUACUGGGCGUAAAGAGUGUGUAGGCGGUCUUGUAGGUUCUGUGUGAAAUCUCCCGGCUUAACUGGGAGGGUGCGCCGAAUACUGCAAGGCUUGAGUACUGGAGAGGAUAGCGGAAUUCCUGGUGUAGCGGUGAAAUGCGUAGAUAUCAGGAGGAACACCGGCGGUGUAGACGGCUGUCUGGACAGUAACUGACGCUGAAACACGAAAGCGUGGGGAGCAAACAGG